rnacentral:rRNA from 1 species
UGAGGAAUAUUGGUCAAUGGGCGCAAGCCUGAACCAGCCAUGUCGCGUGCAGGACGACGGCCCUAUGGGUUGUAAACUGCUUUUGUACGGGAAGAAAAAAGGCCACGUGUGGUCUCUUGCCGGUACCGUACGAAUAAGGAUCGGCUAACUCCGUGCCAGCAGCCGCGGUAAUACGGAGGAUCCGAGCGUUAUCCGGAUUUAUUGGGUUUAAAGGGUGCGUAGGCGGGCUGUUAAGUCAGCGGUGAAAGUUUGACGCUCAACGUUAAAAUUGCCGUUGAUACUGGUGGCCUUGAGUGCGGUUGAGGUAGGCGGAAUGUGGUGUGUAGCGGUGAAAUGCUUAGAUAUGCCACAGAACACCGAUUGCGAAGGCAGCUUACUAAAGCGCAACUGACGCUGAUGC